rnacentral:rRNA from 1 species
GACGAACGCUGGCGGCGUGCUUAACACAUGCAAGUCGAACGGUAAGGCCUUCGGGUACACGAGUGGCGAACGGGUGAGUAACACGUGGGUGAUCUGCCCUGCACUUUGGGAUAAGCCUGGGAAACUGGGUCUAAUACCGAAUAGGACCGCGCUCUGCAUGGGGUGUGGUGGAAAGCUUUUGCGGUGUGGAAUGGGCCCGCGGCCUAUCAGCUUGUUGGUGGGGUAAUGGCCUACCAAAGCGACGACGGGUAGCCGGCCUGAGAGGGUGACCGGCCACACUGGGACUGAGAUACGGCCCAGACUCCUACGGGAGGCAGCAGUGGGGAAUAUUGCACAAUGGGAGCAAGCCUGAUGCAGCGACGCCGCGUGAGGGAUGACGGCCUUCGGGUUGUAAACCUCUUUCAGCAGGGACGAAGCGCAAGUGACGGUACCUGUAGAAGAAGGACCGGCCAACUACGUGCCAGCCGCCGCGGUAAGAC